AAAUCCGGUUGAUCCUGCCGGAGGCUACCGCUAUUGGAGUUCGAUUAAGCCAUGCGAGUCUAGAGGCCUAGCCUCGGCGUAC
rnacentral:rRNA from 1 species